CAGAAAGUAGUUUAUAAAAAUAUUAAUUUUGGAGAUUAAAGAUAUAGGGAUUCCUUUUUUUCUGA
rnacentral:tRNA from 1 species